rnacentral:rRNA from 1 species
UUAAUAUCCCAUAGUAUAUUUGAGUGGCAUCACUUAGAUAUUAAAGCUCCGGCGGUUAAAGAUGGGCGUGCGUCUGAUUAGGUAGUUGGCGGGGUAACGGCCCACCAAGCCCACGAUCAGUAGCUGAUGUGAGAGCAUGAUCAGCCACACGGGCACUGAGACACGGGCCCGACUCCUACGGGAGGCAGCAGUAAGGAAUAUUGGUCAAUGGACGCAAGUCUGAACCAGCCAUGCCGCGUGGAGGAUGAAGGCCCUCUGGGUUGUAAACUUCUUUUCUUUGGGACGAAACCCCUGUUUCUACGGGGGACUGACGGUACCAGAGGAAUAAGCACCGGCUAACUCCGUGCCAGCAGCCGCGGUAAUACGGAGGGUGCAAGCGUUNUCCGGAUUCACUGGGGUUUAAAGGGANCCGUAGGUGGGCUUUUANGUCNGUGGUGNCCUCUUUGGGCUUAACCCGAAAACUGCCAUUGAUACUAUUAGUCUUGAAUUCUCUGGAGGUAAGCGGAAUAUGUCAUGUAGCGGUGAAAUGCUUAGAUAUGACAUAGAACACCCAUUGCGAAGGCAGCUUACUACGGAGACAUUGACACUGAGGCUCGAAAGCGUGGGGAUCAAACAGGAUUAGAUACCCUGGUAGUCCACGCCCUAAACGAUGAUUACUCGACAUUAGCGAUAUUACAGUUAGUGUCUAAGCGAAAGCAUUAAGUAAUCCACCUGGGAAGUACGACCGCAAGGUUGAAACUCAAAGGAAUUGGCGGGGGUCCGCACAAGUGGUGGAGCAUGUGGUUUAAUUCGAUGACACGCGAGGAACCUUACCUGGGCUAGAAUGCUGGGAGACCGCAGGUGAAAGCCUGUUUUGUAGCAAUACACUGCCAGUAAGGUGCUGCAUGGCUGUCGUCAGCUCGUGCCGUGAGGUGUUGGGUUAAGUCCCGCANCGAGCGCAACCCCUAUCUUUAGUUGCCAUCAGGUAAUGCUGGGAACUCUAAAAAACUGCCGUCGUAAACGUGAGNANGAGGGAUGAUGUCAAGUCAUCAUGGCCUUUUGCCCAGGGCU